GACGUAGGGUGCGAGCGUUGUCCAGAUUUAUUGGGCGUAAAGAGCUCGUAGGCGGCUCGUCGCGUCGACCGUGAAAACCCGCGGCUCAACUGCAGGCUGGCGGUCGAUACGGGCAGGCUGGAGUUCGGUAGGGGAGACUGGAAUUCCUGGUGUAGCGGUGAAAUGCGCAGAUAUCAAGAGGAACACCUGAGGUGAAGACGGGUUGCUGGGCCAACACUGACGCUGAGGCGCGAAAGCCAGGGGAGCAAACGGG
rnacentral:rRNA from 1 species